rnacentral:lncRNA from 1 species
CACUAAGACAAUUCUGUUGUACACAGAAUAAAUAAUAAGCUUCAAGUAACUGACAUUUGCUAGUAUGUCAUAGAAUCAUUUUUACAGUCAUAGCUGAAACGGCAUUUGCUAACUUGCUUUCACUGAGCAGGCUUUUCCUUCUGAUAGAUUCCCUACUUCUCAAAGUAUAAUUAAUCUUCCUGUAAAAGCACUGAUCCUAAUCUUUAGUCUGCGUUAAGAUGACUAGAUAUUCCAGUUUUAAUUAUAAAGUCCUUUAUCUUAAUACUCUGCAGAGAUGCCCAUUUGACCCCAUUCCACUUUUGUUUCAUUUGCUCUGUGGCACAUGAUCACCAUGUAAAAGGAAUAGCACAUGGUCAAAGGGCUCUGUUCAGUGGUGACUUACAUGCUCCCUGCUGCCAGAUAUAAUGUAGAUUGCACUAAAAAAAUCAAUAUAUUUCUGCUUUGUAACUUAUAUUGCAUGAUUAUUUUUUGAAGUAGGUUAUUCAUUGUACCACAGAGCAGUCUUUUGGCACCAGAACCUUCAAACCAGUUAGGGAAAUGGAGAAAGAAUAUACUGCAGAUUUGGUCCUGCCCAGAAGAGGUGUUGGAACCCUUCUUAUUGGAAACAUCAGUGAAAAAUUAUCAAAAGGAAAGAAAGAUAAAUAGGACAAUCUACUUUCCUUUAAUAGGCACUGUGUUUUGUCUGAUAAAAGGCAUAAGACCAAAGGGCAGAAGCAGGCCAUUUCUUUUAUCAGCAGGCUAUGCUGUGAAAAACAAAACUUGAAGCACAAGCAAACAGAAUUGCACCACCAGUAAUGAAGAGAGGUGGCACACGAGGAUGGCAGAUGCUACUUUCUUCGCAGUCUUGAAGAGGGCUGUCUGCUUUGUCAUUAUUUCUUGCCAAGGAUUUUGCAAGCUACUGCUUCAACUGGAUAUUUUCUCUUAUUACUCCCAGGAUCUCCUUGGGAAUUGCAGCUGGCAUCCUUGUUCACUGCCAGAGUAUUUGGUAGCUCUUUCACUCGGUACUCUCAGGCACUCUCUUCACAUCCUCUGAAAAAAUUUGUUCUCGGAUUAACAUGAUUGUGUGUCCAAGGCCUAAUUGUCAUUCUGGAGUGAUGAACAACACAGGUGAACUCAUACCCUGAAAUUUCUAGGCUAUUUGAAUUGGUUCAUCUAAUGCCUGAAAGAACAAGUCAGUUUGCAACUCUAUAGUGCUG